CCUACGGAUGGCAGCAGUGGGGGAUAUUGCGCAAUGGGCGAAACCCUGACGCAGCGACGCCGCGUGAGGGAAGAAGGAUUUCGGGUUGUAAAGCUCUAUCAGCAGGGAAGAAGAGAAGACGGUACCUGAGGAAGAAGCACCGGCUAAAUACGUGCCAGCAGCCGCGGUAAUACGUAUGGUGCAAGCGUUAUCCGGAUUUACUGGGUGUAAAGGGAGGGUAGGCGGGACGGCAAGCCUGAUGUGAAAGCCCGCGGCCCAACCGCGGGACUGCAUUGGGAACUACCGGGCUGGAGUGCCGGAGAGGCAGGCGGAAUUCCUAGUGUAGCGGUGAAAUGCGUAGAUAUUAGGAGGAACACCAGUGGCGAAGGCGGCCUACUGGACGGUGACUGACGCUGAGGCUCGAAAGCGUGGGGAGCAAACAGGAUUAGAUACCCGGGUAGUC
rnacentral:rRNA from 1 species